UCUCCGUUGGUGAACCAGCGGAGGGAUCAUUACCGAGUUUACAACUCCCAAACCCAAUGUGAACCAUACCAAACUGUUGCCUCGGCGGGGUCACGCCCCGGGUGCGUCGCAGCCCCGGAACCAGGCGCCCGCCGGAGGGACCAACCAAACUCUUUCUGUAGUCCCCUCGCGGACGUUAUUUUUACAGCUCUGAGCAAAAAUUCAAAAUGAAUCAAAACUUUCAACAACAGAUCUCUUGGUUCUG
rnacentral:misc_RNA from 1 species